AGAGUUUGAUCCUGGCUCAGGACGAACGCUGGCGGCGUGCCUAAUACAUGCAAGUCGAGCGGACAGAUGGGAGCUUGCUUCCUGAUGUUAGCGGCGGACGGGUGAGUAACACGUGGGUAACCUGCCUGUAAGACUGGGAUAACUCCGGGAAACCGGGGCUAAUACCGGAUGGUUGUUUGAACCGCAUGGUUCAAACAUAAAAGGUGGCUUCGGCUACCACUUACAGAUGGACCCGCGGCGCAUUAGCUAGUUGGUGAGGUAACGGCUCACCAAGGCGACGAUGCGUAGCCGACCUGAGAGGGUGAUCGGCCACACUGGGACUGAGACACGGCCCAGACUCCUACGGGAGGCAGCAGUAGGGAAUCUUCCGCAAUGGGCGAAAGUCUGACGGAGCAACGCCGCGUGAGUGAUGAAGGUUUUCGGAUCGUAAAGCUCUGUUGUUAGGGAAGAACAAGUGCCGUUCGAAUAGGGCGGUACCUUGACGGUACCUAACCAGAAAGCCACGGCUAACUACGUGCCAGCAGCCGCGGUAAUACGUAGGUGGCAAGCGUUGUCCGGAAUUAUUGGGCGUAAAGGGCUCGCAGGCGGUUUCUUAAGUCUGAUGUGAAAGCCCCCGGCUCAACCGGGGAGGGUCAUUGGAAACUGGGGAACUUGAGUGCAGAAGAGGAGAGUGGAAUUCCACGUGUAGCGGUGAAAUGCGUAGAGAUGUGGAGGAACACCAGUGGCGAAGGCGACUCUCUGGUCUGUAACUGACGCUGAGGAGCGAAAGCGUGGGGAGCGAACAGGAUUAGAUACCCUGGUAGUCCACGCCGUAAACGAUGAGUGCUAAGUGUUAGGGGGUUUCCGCCCCUUAGUGCUGCAGCUAACGCAUUAAGCACUCCGCCUGGGGAGUACGGUCGCAAGACUGAAACUCAAAGGAAUUGACGGGGGCCCGCACAAGCGGUGGAGCAUGUGGAUUAAUUCGAAGCAACGCGAAGAACCUUACCAGGUCUUGACAUCCUCUGACAAUCCUAGAGAUAGGACGUCCCCUUCGGGGGCAGAGUGACAGGUGGUGCAUGGUUGUCGUCAGCUCGUGUCGUGAGAUGUUGGGUUAAGUCCCGCAACGAGCGCAACCCUUGAUCUUAGUUGCCAGCAUUCAGUUGGGCACUCUAAGGUGACUGCCGGUGACAAACCGGAGGAAGGUGAGGAUGACGUCAAAUCAUCAUGCCCCUUAUGACCUGGGCUACACACGUGCUACAAUGGACAGAACAAAGGGCAGCGAAACCGCGAGGUUAAGCCAAUCCCACAAAUCUGUUCUCAGUUCGGAUCGCAGUCUGCAACUCGACUGCGUGAAGCUGGAAUCGCUAGUAAUCGCGGAUCAGCAUGCCGCGGUGAAUACGUUCUCGGGCCUUGUACACACCGCCCGUCACACCACGAGAGUUUGUAACACCCGAAGUCGGUGAGGUAACCUUUUAGGAGCCAGCCGCCGAAGGUGGGACAGAUGAUUGGGGUGAAGUCGUAACAAGGUA
rnacentral:rRNA from 1 species